rnacentral:lncRNA from 1 species
UAGAGGUUUAAAUUAAUUGAAAACAUGCUCAGACCACUUUAAGACACAUUGGUGUGUGCGUCUCUGCUAAUUGAAUAUCAAUGGAUGGAGGAGAGGCUGUUGUUUAGAGGCAAAUCUUCACAUGCAGAGCUGUGAACAGUGUUGACCGGCGGCAUCUGGACAGACAUGGAGCCUUGUGCCGAGUCUCAGGGAGAUCCUGAGAGAGCUCAGGUGCAGUGUAUAGUGUGCUGUGUGUCCAGUUCACUGACUGACCAGCUGUGAGAAACACUGAGCAAACAGACGAUCAUCUAAUGAUCAACAGAGAGGAAGAGAAACAGGGAGGAGCGGCCUGUGAGAAUGAGAGAUUUGUGUGAUCUCUGCAGACGCUCCGGCUCACUAACGGUAGGCUUGGCUCUGUUUCUCUGUUACUCACGAUAAAUCCAGACAGAUGAA